GAUUAGAGUUUGAUCAUGGCUCAGAACGUACGCUGGCGGCACGCCUAACACAUGCAAGUCGAACGAAGUAGCAAUACUUAGUGGCAGACGGGUGAGUAACAUGUAGGUAUCUGCCCUUUGGCCUGGAAUAACACGAGGAAACUUGUGCUAAUACCGGAUAAGUCUUUACGGAGAAAGCUUUAUGCACCAUUGGAUGAGCCUGCACUUGAUUAGUUUGUUGGUGGGGUAAUGGCCUACCAAGACUUUGAUCAAUAGCUGAUUUGAGAGGAUGAUCAGCCACAUUGGGACUGAGACACGGCCCAAACUCCUACGGGAGGCAGCAGUGGGGAAUCUUGCACAAUGGAGGAAACUCUGAUGCAGCGAUGCCGCGUGAGUGAAGAAGGCCCUUGGGUUGUAAAGCUCUUUCGUCGGGGAAGAAAAUGACUGUACCCGAAUAAGAAGGUCCGGCUAACUUCGUGCCAGCAGCCGCGGUAAUACGAAGGGACCUAGCGUAGUUCGGAAUUACUGGGCUUAAAGAGUUCGUAGGUGGUUGAAAAAGUUGGUGGUGAAAUCCCAGAGCUUAACUCUGGAACUGCCAUCAAAACUUUUCAGCUAGAGUUUGAUAGAGGAAAGCAGAAUUUCUAGUGUAGAGGUGAAAUUCGUAGAUAUUAGAAAGAAUACCAAUUGCGAAGGCAGCUUUCUGGAUCAUUACUGACACUGAGGAACGAAAGCAUGGGUAGCGAAGAGGAUUAGAUACCCUCGUAGUCCAUGCCGUAAACGAUGUGUGUUAGACGUUGGAAAUUUAUUUUCAGUGUCGCAGCGAAAGCGAUAAACACACCGCCUGGGGAGUACGACCGCAAGGUUAAAACUCAAAUGAAUUGACGGGGACCCGCACAAGUAGUGGAGCAUGUGGUUUAAUUCGAAGAUACGCGCAGAACCUUACCAACACUUGACAUGUUCGUCGCGACUUUAAGAGAUUAAAGUUUUCGGUUCGGCCGGACGAAACACAGGUGCUGCAUGGCUGUCGUCAGCUCGUGUCGUGAGAUGUUGGGUUAAGUCCCGCAACGAGCGCAACCCUCACUUUUAGUUGCCAUCAUUUAGUUGGGCACUCUGAAAGAACUGCCAGUGAUAAGCUGGAGGAAGGUGGGGAUGACGUCAAGUCCUCAUGGCCCUUACGUGUUGGGCUACACACGUGCUACAAUGGUAUUUACAACAGGAAGCAAGACAGCGAUGUUAAGCAAAUCCUUAAAAAAUACCUCAGUUCGGAUUGCACUCUGCAACUCGAGUGCAUGAAGCUGGAAUUACUAGUAAUCGUGGAUCAGCGUGCCACGGUGAAUGCGUUCCCGGGUCUUGUACACACCGCCCGUCACACCAUGGGAGUUGGUUCUACCUUAAGGCAAGGUUUCAAACCCUUGACCACGGUAUAGUCAGCGACUGGGGUGAAGUCGUAACAAGGUACC
rnacentral:rRNA from 1 species